AAAGAAGAAACGUAACAAAGAAGAAAAAUGGGUCUUACACAAUAUAACAAAGUGACCUUUGUUGCUAUCCUCUUUUGCUUCAUCCUCAUUGCAUCACAUGAAACUCAUAUGGUUGAAGCACACCGUGGGGGUGGCGGUGGCAGUGAAGGAGGUGGUGGCGAUGGCGGUAGAAUAUGUGUUUAUCACAACUCUUGGAAUGGAGGUUGCUCAGGGUACUGUGGUGGGUGGUGCAAAAGCAAGGGUGGCUACAAGUGGUAUUGUCAGUACAAGACAUGUUACUGUUAUUAUAAGUGUUAAAUGAAAAUAUUUGUAUGAUGCACUAUUUUCAUGCCAAAAAAAUUAUGCGUCACACAAAUCUCAAUCUAUCAUAUACAUAAUAUGAAAUAAAUGUUGCUACAAAUGGCUCUAGUCAUUUUGUCACAGCAACAAAUGUUGUCCCAACAAAUGCGGGGUAUUUUAAUUAAUUAAUAUGUAUUGUAUACUUAGCUUGUAUGUUGAAUAUAUAUAUUAUGUGUGUUUGGGGUGUUUGAGUA